UUCAGCUUAAAUCUACUUGACUACCAAGUGCUAAACAUGUGUUAUUUGUUAAUAAUUAGAAUACUUAACAUUUAUUAAGCAUUUACUAUUUGCCAUGCAUUGAGCUAAGUAGAUUGCACUUUUUUAAAACAAUUAUUCCAUAAGAUAAAUAUAUUACCUGCAUUUUAUAAAUAAUGAUACUGAAAUUCAGAGAGCUUAAAUGAUAUGUACAAGGUCACAGUGCCCAAGUAUUCUCAUCCCCAGACCCAGUCUUAACCACUAUAUUGGUUAUAGCAGAAAACCCGCACAAAACAUACUUUUACAUCUCACUGUACAUUUUUAUUACAUACUACUGUCAAUUACUGGCUUUCAAGAACCUUGCCAGGAGAUCCCUGAGUUUUAUUUCAAAAUUUUACCAGAAAAUUAAGUAUCUCUCAUCGUUGCUUUUGGGGUCCACCCCACAAAAAAAGACCAUGAAUUAACAGAUGAGAAAGUAAGGUCCUGCGGAAGUCUCUCUCUCCUUUCCAAUUCCUUAACACUAGAACCACUUCAGGAUCUACUUGGUGCUGGCCACUGUGACAGGGGUGCAAAGGUGAGUAAGACUUAGUCCGUGAUAUCACAGUAUUCACAGUCUGAUGUGGAGGUAGUAGCCACAUAAUGUCAAUCUAAAGAAACCAAUGAUGCUACAUGUAAAUGAGGAAAAGACACUCAGCUUUGCCUAUAGAAUCUUGAGUGGUAGAAAAGAAUCACCCAGGAGGUUAAGAAAAGGAAGGGUACACCACAGAAAUAAUAUGUGCAACAUUGUACUUAGAGUCAAAAUCCAGGCAUUUCAGAGCAUUGACUAUUGAUUUCAAAGUCCUUAACAUGUACCCUUCAUCCCUCUCAAAAUGGUUUGGGAUCUUUCAAAUAUAACUCCACAGGUCUGCCCUGGAAUUUCAGAUUCCAGGCAUUGAGCCUAUGAUCAUACAUAUGCUUCCUACAUCAACACAUGGAAGUAUUCUUCUAUUUAUUUAUUAUUUUAAUGCAGUGAUUGAUCAUGGUGUUGAAGGGGAUCAUGAGUUUUUGAGGUUUUUAGUUCACCUUGUACAUACCCUGAGGGUCCACCUUCUGAAACCAAUGAAGAGCUCAUAAGCAUACCCUUUCAGAACUGGGACCUUCAAAAAGAGGCACAUAAAUUCCCCAAUUUCCUAUGAAAGACAUUAUUCAAGUGUCCUCAAGUGACAGAUGGUCUAAUAAUGUGCAAAAAUGUGCACUUACACUCUGAGGUCAGCUCUGUUUUACUUGAGUUUUUCACUCACACAAGUACCAUCUGGAGCCCACAUCCUCUAUCUUUAGCUUUAAAUAAAUCCUGAUUUACCUCAGAAAUAUUUGCCAAGAGUCUGCUUCCUAGAAAAAUGACCAGUUUCUCCUUUUUGAGGUAUGCUUUUGCAAUAUAUGACACCAAGCAGGCGCUUAGCAAAUGGCUGCUAUUAGGAUGCUCGUUAGGAUGCUACAAAGGAACGGAACCUAUUGGGAGCAAAGGUUGAGGAACUGCAGCUAAAACUCUUUUUUUUGUGUUUGCAUGUUUAUGUGGGUCAGUCUGGAAAGAUCACACUGUUUUCUUUCAGCUGGAGCAUCCUAAUCCAAAUUAAAGCUGCAUGUGUUACAUCAACAUUUUGACUCAAUACUGCUAAAGCUUCUUUGCCAAACAUCUUUUCAGCUCUCAGAAUUUGUAAGUAUGGGGUACAUUUUGAUCUGAUGAUGUAUGCGUAUAGAAGAAAGAAAGGAUGAAUGCUUGAAGACAGGCUCCAAAUCCUGAAGGGGUUAUGUGCUGCUGCCUUCCUUGAAGAGCCAGAGGCGCGCUUUUGUUGGGUCUACCCCACAACACAGUGGUGGCGUAUUUGUGACUGAUACCUUGCGUAAGGGAACUAUGGCCUUGAUACCCAUGCUUUCUCUCUGGGACAGAAUCAAGGUGCAUAAAGGAUAUCAUCAGCAAUUCCAAGGUGUUAUCCAAGCCAGUCCUGAGUCCACUGCACUCUGGAAAAUGCCUUAAGCAUUUAAGCUGAGCUACUGAGAAACGCAAGGAAGCUAAUCCAGCUACUCUUUUUGUGCCAGCCAUUCGGCCCCCAGGUGCUACGAGCGCUGGUCUGCCUGCCAGGACUGAAGUGGAAAUGGACCGCACCCGCGCUUUCGCAGUGACUUCCCCUGAGAACAGGAAAGCAUCCCUUCCCUCCUUGAAAUGGACCCGGAUGUAGAGUCAACUAGUUCUAAACUCUUUUUCAAGCUUGACUAAUAAUCUCUUAAGUCAAUUCUUGGUAGGAGGGGAGUCCUACAUAUAUAUAGAGAUUAUAUAUAUAUAUAUUUUUUUCACCCCCCGGAAAUAAGGAAAUGAGUAAUUCCAAAGUUUUGGCAUUUCCUUCCAAUGCCAGGAAGCCAUUUCCUUCCAAUGCCAGUAAGGAAACCUGGAAUUGUACCAUGUUUUUUACCUUUUGGGGAAACAAUUCUAAAGGCUUCUUUGUAAGUUAAUUUAGAAAAUCACCCAUGAUUCCAUUAUCUAACAAUGAUGUUUUUACCAUUUUUAUUUUUAAAAAUCUGGCCUUCUACAUAAAUAUUGAAAAAGUAAGAGUGGGAAAUCAUGUAUAAAAUUUUGCAGAAUGAACUUUCUUCCUAAAAGUAUUGUGGCCACUUCCAUAUAUUCUUAAUUUCUAAAUAUUUUCAAAACUUUGACACUCACUAUGCUGUUCCUUUAUCCCCAUGACUGAUAUAUUAUAUAAUUGGAAGCCUGCACUUCUUUAUCCUCUUUGUCCACUUCACCCACCCCAUAUUCAAAUGUCACCUAAUAACCCACAGAAUCCACUUUGAGAAACACUAUAUAAAAUCAAGCCAGGAAAUAUACCAUGGCAGUUCAUAGAGAAGGCUCCAGCAAGAAAGAUCUGAAUUUGAAUUCUGACUCUCCCCCUAACCAACUGAAUGAGCAGGGAUAUUAUGUAAAUACUUAAUGUCAUAACAUAUACUGAGCACCUGCUAUGUAACAGAUACUUGCUAAGGACCUUACAUGUAUUAAUUUCACUUAAUCCUACAACCUCAUAUAGCCAGUACCAUUAUAUGCAUACUUUGCAGAAGAGGAUACAAAGGCCAAAGAAUGUUUACUACUUGAAAUCACAAAACAAAUACAUGAACUUGAUCUGGCCUGUGUCUACUUCACAAGAUUGAGUUCCCCCAUUCUCCUCUGGUCAGAGAUCUGGCCCCCUGGUUUGUCCCCCUAAUGCCUGGAUACUUCCUCUUCCUUGCCUCAGUAUCACCUCCAACACCCCUCCUUCCUUUUUACCUUUUAUACGUUCCCUAAAUGUCACUUACUCCAGGAAGCCUUCUUAAUACCCUAUUCUGUACUUUGGCCACCUACCUUUUCAUUUAGAGCAUUUAUGGGGAUUAAUGCUCUUUGUGACUAUGAGUUCAGUGUAUAUCCCUGGCUGGUUCCAAGAUGCCCUCACAUCUGUAUCUCACCAUACAAUGUGAAUAACUGGACCAUUAGUGACACAUCAUUUUCAAUUAUUUAGCCAUCAAUACAGCCAGUUCCCCUGGCUUGCUUUUAAUAUACUUCCAUCAUGUCAAAGAGGAAGGAUAAGAGAUGAGUGAAAGUGCUAAGUUAAAUCAGAGGACUUUGGGUGAGGAACCUUGGGAGGAAGGGGUUGUGAAAGGCUUAUCCAUUCUGUAUUCCUCUUAGAACAGAGGCCUGAAUCUGAGCAUACCAUUUUUUGCCAAAAGAGUAUAUGCAUGGUUGUGGAGGGAGUACUACUGCAUUCACAUGACCUUUUUGGCAACAUGAAGCAUUAAGCCCACAAAACUGUUGCCAAACAAAAAUUUUAACAUGCCAGGUCCUGACCACAGAGCUUCUCAUACCCUGGGGCAUCUCAGGGAGGACCAGGGUAAGUGGUAUGUUGUUCUAAGGCUCACCAAUUCCACACACUUCUUCAUAUAAGUGGGAGCCAUUGCCUCAGUCUCCAUGGUCAAAUAAAUAAAGGAAAUGCUGCAGCAAACUUUGUCUUGAAAACUUACAGUGCACAUUAAAGCAUUAGAGAAGCUAAGAGGUCCUUCAGAGAAAAAAAAUCUAUUUAAGUUUACACAGUUCCUAAAUUUAUUUAGCCAUGUUUAGCCAUAGAAUGCUGGCUUGGAUUAAGUUGUGCCAGAAGCAGAAUCUGAGAUAAGGAUUUAAACACAAGCAGUUUUAUUUGGGAGGUGAAUUUAUAGAAAACAUCAGGAGGGGAGACAGGAAGCAAGGUUGGAAAGGGAAGGAGGCCAACCCAGGGUGCAUUAAUGAGCAGGUUUACUUCUGUGGGCACCUGGGAUUCACCCAUGCUGGGGACUAAUGAUGGGAAGAGCAUGCCUCAGAGGUGACCCAUCUUAGGGGUGAGGGAGCUGGAUAUUUACCCACCAACUCUCACCAGUCACAAAUUGAGGGCUGUUUCCAGGGUCACUAACCCUGGAACCUGCAGCCUGCCCUGCACUGCACCUGGAGAAUGCCGUCAGGCAGAACACCAGGUGUUUGCAAUGGAGCACUCAUGUUGUCAUGUAUGGUAACUAUGAGUGCUGAGGGAUAAUGCAUGGGACCUUACAAUGUCUGCCACAAAGAGUCCGCCCUCUACUUUUUUAUUUUUCAUGCAGGACACCCAUUCACACCUGGUGGAACUAGUAUUUGAGGACAAAAUUGAUAAAACAGAAUUCUAAAAUUUGGAAAUUAAGCAGUUCAAUGAAUUCCAAGAAGGUACCAUUUAGCCGAACACAUGAAGCCAAUGUUAUGCUAUAGCUGAUAAAACUCCAAAGAGAAUUCCUAUAAACGACACCAAAUACCAGUCAUAUAAAUCUCAAGGCUCAGCAAAAAAUAGCCUUGGAAAGUCCUAACUUACGGGAUGCUACAUCAUAGAGCCCUCUAAGGAUCCGAACUUGGAAUCAGGUUCUAACUUGGCUUGUCUGCAAAAGGGGAAAGCGAACUUUCCCACAGCCAAGGGCCCGGGGCAUGGCACACUAACUGCAUCCUGUAUGAGGUGGUGUCAGGCUGUAUCCCCAGUAGCCUCGGGUUGUCCACAUACAGAGAUGUAGUCAUGGCAAAGACAUGGAGCUCUGAGGACCCCAUUCUCACGAAAUGUCUUACGUUCAGGCCAAGUCAGACAAUACAAUACAAUAUUAACAAAUCAACAGAGAAAAUAAUUGUAGAUGGUGGUAAGGGUUAUGGAGACAUUCAAGAGGAUAAUGGGAGAAAGGGCAGCUGGGGAGAAUUACUUUAGGUUGAGUGAUCUGGAAUGACUUCUUUGAGGAGAGAAAUAUGAGCUGACACCUCCGUGUUUCAUCAGAAUAGAAAGCAUUGCAGGAGGAGGAAACGCCAAGUGCAAAACUCUUGAGAUGGGAAUGAGACUGGAGGAUUCCAGGACCCCAAAAAGGGCUUGGAGUAGUACUAGGAAUGAGGGGUGGAGUGUGAUUAGAAAAGGCUGACAAGGAAGGCUGCAAGUGGAACUUGUUGGAAAAUUUCGUUUAUUUUCUCCUCUAUUUAUCAUUCUUAAGAAAAUAGUCUCAAAAAGCAUCAGAGAACAUUUGCUGAAUACCUAGUGAUACUCCCAUGUUCCUACAUAUCUGGGAAACUUAAGGGAAUUCAUCGAGCUGUCUCCAGGCAGCCAUCCUUAUGGUCUCAUCCCUUUCUGCAGCAUCUCCCACCAAAAUCUCAAGUUGCCUCAUAAAUUAAAAGCAGUCCCUAAAAGCUGAAAUGUUAACCUGCUCUGCAAGGCCUUGGGCCCCAGUCCCAAAAAGCAGUGAUGUAAAGAAACAGGGCACAGAGUCACUAGGACCCACUUCUCGGUGGCAGGAAGUUGGCUGAGCCCACACCAUCUGAUCGCAACCAGCCUCAGCCCCUGGCACGCCCCAGGCGGCCCCCUUCCGGACUCGGCCUUCAGCAGCUCUACAAGAAGGUUCCCUGGUGGAGCAGCCUCAAGGCUCGCCCAAGGCCUGGCCCCUGGGAGCGGUAGCGGAGGGUCUGUCUCAGGAGGGCACUUAGUCUUGUAUUGCAAGGGAAGGCUGAUUCUUCACUCUCUGCCAAGCUCAGGAUCAGAAGAAGAGGGGAAACAGAGGCCAUAUCUUGACCUCAGGGGUCCAGGACACCACAGCAGAGGGCUCUGCCAUUGAGCACAUUAUCUGGGGGCCUAGGAAAACCUAAAUUCUAUUUCACAAGCAGUUAUUAGGCACCUGAUAUAUGCCGAGGAGUGUGAAAUUAAUGUCAGAAGAGACAUGCAGAGAAGUUCAGAAGAGCGGGGACUGGGAAAUUCAUCACCUCACUGGUUUCUCUGGUUUGAUGGUGGUUCAUCAGGCCGAUCUGGUACAUGCAGGACCCUUGUUAUUGUUACUCAUGAAAACAUUUUUUUUAGGCUGAGGAAGAGACAACAGAGCAUUACCGUCAAGAGACAUGGGGAAAUGAGCAGGACAGGAAAACAGCUCAGGGGAGCUGAAACAAUGGCCCGCUGUCCCCCAGGAAGAGCAGCUCUGAGGACUGGGUAUUUGGUUGUCUCUCAGCAGUUUCUUUUCUAUCCUCACUACCUUUGCCUGUUUCUUCUGCUUUUCCCAAUACCUCUGGGUCCUUCCCCAGGACCUUGUUUUUGUUUGAAGCUUCUGAUGGUGAAGAACCGAGAAGAAAGCAGGUUCCAGCUUUGUGGAAAGUGAAAGAUCCCAAAUGACAGUUUGGAUGGCAUCUGGAACCAGUGGUGCUGACAAUGUAACCUCCAUAUAUGGGCUACAAAGUUGUAGAGCCAGCAAAAAGAGAAAAAGCUUGAAAGAUAUGGACCCAGAGCUGUUAACCAUUGGGAGAGAUUCUGUAUACAGACAUGCAAGUUGUUUUCCAGAUAUGCAAAGCAUCAAGGUUUGUGUUGGUAACAAGUCCUGAUCCCAGCGCCAGUCAAAUCAUACACAUGAUGGAGUCAAAUACCUGGGAUGACUUCUGGAUUUUGUUACUGGCCUUCAUGCUGUCUGUGAUUCAGGGGAAGCUGGCAACUGGAGGGCCAAAUAAAGAAGGGUAACAGCUUCCCUCCCAACUUCCCGCCACAGAAGGGUUAGCCCCAUGUGGGUGAUGAAUUGCGCCAAAGAGUCUGAUAGUCCCAAAGAGGAAUGAAAUCCUAGAAGCAGCUCUUCCUGGAUGUCUACAGCUGUAGGCAUUGUUCUCCUUUCCACAUUUAUAAGAGGAUUCAAGAGUUUAAUGACAAACUUUUAUGGAGACUGAGGAGGCAAAAGGGAUCCAGUGUGACAGUAAGAAAAUCUCCAAGCAACAUUCAGUCACAGCCACAACCAGGACAUCACAGAGGUUCACUUGGCACAGACAGAAAAAAGUAAAGGAAACUGCUCAAGAUUUCUUUGAUGUGCUCUGGAAAACUGGCCAACUGGAAGAGAACUUCAGAGUCCCUGCAGGAUUUCUUUAGCAGUAUAUCCUCAUGGUCCACUUGAAUGGACUGGCCAUGACAGGCAGGUUGGAAUCCCCAAGACAUUCCAUCCCACAGUUCAAUAGCACUAAUAUGUUCUUAAAAAAUCUUCCCUAUGUAUUUAUUUAUUCCCUAUAAAGAUAUGUAUCAGGCUCACACCAUAAACCUGUUGGAAAUAAGGCUAUCAUAGCCAACAGGAUCCCAUCCCUUAGUGGAGGCCACAGUCCAGCAGGAAGGCAGACAUCAAACUAGUAAUUAACAGGAAUGCAUGAUGAACACAUCAAGAGGAAGUAACCAGGGCUAUGGACUUAACCUAGGGGUCAGGAAGGCCACCCUCCCUGAGGAAGUGAAUCCAAGAAACCUCCUGAAGGAUGCUGAGUGAAGAUGGGGCUGGGGAAGGCAACAAGAUGUAUGCAUUGUUGAUCAUUAGUGAUCAAAAUGUAGGCCCUUGCUUUCGCUUUCAUAUUUUGGUACAAGUUUCACCUUGAGUUUUGAAUAGACUAAGACCACUUUCUCCUCACAGAAGACUAUUAAUAAUAUUCUGUUUUCUACUGUGUUUAUUUAUUUCUGUUUCUUUAGAACACAAAUAAAUUAAAAAUAAGAGCUACUCUUUGCUGAACACUCACCUAGUGCCAUGCCCACUGAAUUCUCUCACAAAAGUUUUUUGCUUUAUCCACAUUUGAGGGAAACAGGUUCAGAAGGUUACCCAGCCAGGCAAAGAUGAGCUAGGAUUCAAAGGCAGAUACGAGAUGUUCAAAUCUAAGAUGUUAACCACUUUACUGGGGUUUCUCCAUGUCCAGAUCUACAAACUAUUUCAUCAAAAUGAUGGGGGUGCUGUUGGGGUGGGUGUUUGUUAAAAAAACAGAUUCCAAGGGCUCACCCAGCUGUUUUGCAUCUGCAUCUCUGAGGAUGUGGUCUGAAUCUGCACGUUAGCAAUUUCUCCACGUGUUCCCUUGAGUUUGAGAAUCACUGAACUUCUUCCCAGUUCUGUGCACUUGUGAGACAGAAGGGCGCUCAGGGAGAGAGAGGGAGAGAAAGGAGAGAGACUACUGAUGAAAUUUAUUUUACUCCUGUCUAUGUUCUUAGAAUGCUCUUUUGGCCUUUUGAUGAAAUGCUGCCAUGCAGACUGGUUAUGAUUUUCGAACUGCAAAUAACUGAGCUUCAUGCUCUUGGCUAGAUGUCCAGGCAGGGCUCAGAGAGCUGCUUAUUCAGGCUUCAGCCAAGCUGUGAAAAGUGAGGCUUUUUCAGAGGAAGUGAGAUAAGACAAAAACUUAGAAAAACAAACAUCCUGAGGCCAGUGUUCAAAAGGCCACUAGCAAAAUCUAUAGUCUAAUGUGGAGUGAGCUAAACAAACACAUUACUGGGCCAUCCAGGAAACGCAAAGCAGAUGCCUGGAGGUGGGGGGUGUGUUUUCAACCUGGGUAGAAAUAUCCUGGGGAGUGAUGAUAUAGAAUCAGACACAAAGUUCAGAUAAAAACAACAUGAGAGACUUGCAAAAGGUGGUGUAGCCAGGAUGGACAGGAGGUACUCCUGUGAAGUGGUUCAGAGCAAGUUCAGGGUAGGGAGACCAGGGCUCCAAUCUUAUUUAUAAAUUGUAUGCCCUAAAGUUUUUUCCUGUCAUGGGAUUACCUGAUGACAACUAGUUAAUGAAGCAAUGCUGGUGGAGACCCUGUGCCCAGGGCCAAGCUUAAGAGCUUUUUGAUACUGAAAAGAUGACGAGGGUGUUGCUACCCUGCUCCUAUUACGUACUUUAAAAUGAAAACAAGGUCAAUUCAAAAUAUGAACAGAAGUAGGUCAGCAAUAUUCCAAGUUUUCCUCUGACACUAAUUCAGUGUGUUUUUGGAGAUGUAAAAUAUUCUUCUCUGGCAAAAAAAAAAGGGUUUGUGUGCUUCUCUGAUGCCCCAUAUACACAAGCUUAAUGGGGUGAAAGUGUUUCAUAAAAUGCUAGUCAAACUCCCUGACACAAAGAAGGUACUCACUUAGUACUAGUUAUUAUUAUUUUUAAUAAUCAUGACAUAUGUUCCCAAUUACAUUUAAUGCAACCCCUUAAAGAAACACUAAGGCUCUACCUUCUGUAGAUGUGUUUCUGCUAGUAGUAUUCUACUAUUUGGCAUUGUUUGAACCUGGCUCUGCAGAAAUGAGGUAGUCGC